AGACUGGGAUAACUUCGGGAAACCGAAGCUAAUACCGGAUAGGAUCUUCUCCUUCAUGGGAGAUGAUUGAAAGAUGGUUUCGGCUAUCACUUACAGAUGGGCCCGCGGUGCAUUAGCUAGUUGGUGAGGUAACGGCUCACCAAGGCAACGAUGCAUAGCCGACCUGAGAGGGUGAUCGGCCACACUGGGACUGAGACACGGCCCAGACUCCUACGGGAGGCAGCAGUAGGGAAUCUUCCGCAAUGGACGAAAGUCUGACGGAGCAACGCCGCGUGAGUGAUGAAGGCUUUCGGGUCGUAAAACUCUGUUGUUAGGGAAGAACAAGUACGAGAGUAACUGCUCGUACCUUGACGGUACCUAACCAGAAAGCCACGGCUAACUACGUGCCAGCAGCCGCGGUAAUACGUAGGUGGCAAGCGUUAUCCGGAAUUAUUGGGCGUAAAGCGCGCGCAGGCGGUUUCUUAAGUCUGAUGUGAAAGCCCACGGCUCAACCCGUGGAGGGUCAUUGGAAACUGGGGGAACUUGAGUGCAGAAGAGAAAAGCGGAAUUCCACGUGUAGCGGUGAAUGCGUAGAGAUGUGGAAGAACACCCAUUGGCGAAGGCGGCUUUUUGGUCUGUAACUGACGCUGAAGGCGCGAAAGCGUGGGGAGCAACAGGAUUUAAAAACCCCUGGUAGU
rnacentral:rRNA from 2 species